rnacentral:rRNA from 1 species
GGAAUAUUGCGCAAUGGAGGCAACUCUGACGCAGUGACGCCGCGUAUAGGAAGAAGGUUUUCGGAUUGUAAACUAUUGUCCUCAGGGAAGAAAAAAGACUGUACCUGAGAAGAAAGCUCCGCCUAACUACGUGCCAGCAGCCGCGGUAAUACGUAGGGAGCAAGCGUUAUCCGGAUUUAUUGGGUUUAAAGGGUGCGUAGGCGGAUUCUUAAGUCAGCGGUAAAAUGUCCGGGCUCAACCCGGGCCGGCCGUUGAAACUGGGGGUCUUGAGUGGGCGAGAAGUAUGCGGAAUGCGUGGUGUAGCGGUGAAAUGCAUAGAUAUCACGCAGAACUCCGAUUGCGAAGGCAGCAUACCGGCGCCCGACUGACGCUGAGGCACGAAAGCGUGGGGAUCGAACAG